rnacentral:lncRNA from 1 species
CAGUCUUUUUAGAGGGUGAUUCAGUUCAACUACAUUGCAAAGCCAAUGGAAACCCAAUUCCUUCGUAUUCAUGGACUAAAGGCAAUAGCAGCGAAGAAAUAAUCGUUGACAAGGACAUCCUAGUAAUCAAUAAAGCAAAUAUUUCUGAUAGCGGUUUAUAUACAUGUGACACAAGCAAUGUCGUCGAUGGUACUGCUUACUCAGAAUCUAUAUCGACUUACUUAAACAUAGGUAAGAAUGAAAACAGAAGUUGAUGAAAUAUUCAUAUCUUACUGUAGUGCAAAAGUCACAAUUCAAUGAAACAAACACUCUUGACAUUAAUGUUUUAAUUGAGGGUAAAGAUACAAAUAUUUCUCGCUGUACCAAGGCUCCCUACAUAUAUAUCUAUUUAUAUAUAAAAAAUGUUUAUCGAAGGUAUACAGAUACGGCAUGGGCAAAGUCUAAAUCACAGUAAAUUGUCUGAUGGGCAUAAAAGGCAACAAAUAUCAAUGAUAAAUGAUAUAUGGUCAUCAUUGCUCGGUUAUUUCUUUUACUUGAUAAUUUUAAAAGUGAUUUUAUAUAACCAUCAUUGACAAUAUAUGUCCAACGUAAAGUUAUACAGAGGAAGUCCAUUAAUCAUUAAAAGAAACAAACACUCGACUGAUUAUGACUCAGAUUGUUAAAGUGUAUUGUGAAGGGUUGAAAUAAAAGGGGAAGUAACUCAAUUUCCUCUCAAACAUUUCUGAAAUACACAAACAAUUUGUGUUAAGGUUAAUAUGAAAUUAACAAAGAGUUUGAAAUCAAACCUGUUAAAUGAAGCCAUGCACUAAUCACUUAAUGAAUCGCUUAAUUUGGCAGUUGAACUUUCUGUGAAGGAAUAAUACGCAUUAGUCGGAGUUUAAAGGCUCAAGAAUCCGAAUGAAAACAGGUCAUUUUUCGUAUAUCUGGGUUAUAAAACAAGACGUCGGGUACUUGGGUAGUAAUGAAUUUUACGGUUGUUAUUCGAACGUCGACGUCUGUUUUCGUCUGCUUCUCCUCUGACAUUAUUAACCCAAUGCAAACAAAACUCAUUAAAAGAAGAUUUUUAUCUUAUUUUUAAUAUCAAUUGCCUAUUAUCUUGAAAUCUAUAAUUAAUAGAAAGAAACUUUGCGACACAGAAAUUAUCAGUAUGACAAAAUCUUCAUGUAUGCCUUAAGAGUAAAAUCUUCAAACGACUGCUUAAAAAAUGUGUUGCCCUUACAUAUUAAUUUUUACUUAUUAUUUGCGUGUUUGCCUAUGAAUCUUUUAUAAAUAAUACUUUUUAAAGGGAAUACGUUACAAAAAAUUAUCAGUUAAACAGCACCAAAAAUUAGUCCAACAAUACUGAAAUUGUUAGAAUUAAAAUUGUUUUACCUUAUUUCUUAAAAACACAAAUGAAUAGAGAGAAACCAAAAUGGCAAUUAUAGAAAUCUACAAGUAAUAAUGCAUAUAUGCCUUGGAUCGGCUGACAACUCCGUACCAGAGCACUAUCAAUUGCCUUAAAAUGACCAGUUUAAUCCUGUUGUUCCUAUUUUACAAUUUUCUAGAAAAGUCAAAUAUAUUCAGAAAAUCAAUUAGCAUCGAGACAACAUCAACAAUUAUUUCAACACCGUAAAUUGUGUUAGUCAACUCCUUAUAGUUGGUACUUUCUGCCAAUUUUAUUGAGUCUUACACUGUUACAGCAGUAGAACCGUUAUUAUAUGUUUUGUUUCAUAAUCAUACUGAAAACUAAAAGCAUAGAACCUCACAAAUUGAUGUAAUCAUUGUAUUUGUAUUUAUCAUUUUCUUUUAUAAAGUAACGAUCUCUUCUCGUACCACUAGCAGCCCUUCAGGUUCAGACAACAGAAAAGGUAACUUUAAUGGAAACGUAUAUAUAUGGUUCAAAGUACUGUUUAUAUUAUAUAAAGACAGAAAUAUCAUACCAUGCCAACUGACUUGCGUAUUUGUAAUAUUGAAAGCCGUUACUGCUUUCUUCGGAUUUCGUCUUAUAACUAAGUUAAUAUUUAAGACUGAAACUUUAAUUUUAGCAUAAUUGUUAUGUAAUUUGCAUGUAAUGGAAUACAUUGCUAUAAUUGGCCAAGAUGACUUCAAACUUUUUUUUACCAAUGUAAACAAGAUGGGGAUGAUAAUAACACAUUCCAGUUCGACGUUAAAAAACUAACUUUUGAUUCGCGUUAAUCGUUCAAAUAUACUGACCGACUUUAGAAACGCAACACUGGAUUAAUUUUCUGUUAUUUUUGAAUUAUGUGUCACCGUGAAAAGCGAUGACUGUCUGUUACAAACGCCAAAAUGAUUGUCAGAAAGGUCAACAUAUUCUGUCUGACAUGUUUUGGGGUUUGUUUAACACCUUCUGAUUUUGCAUUUAUUCAACCCAUUAAUUGGUUUUGGCAAUUAUGCAGUUGGAACUUGAGGGCUUUAAAGGUUUUCCUUCAGUCGAUUCUUUGGCAAUUUAGUUGAUGGGAAACAUUUAUGGCAUGAAUAUGUACGCAAUUGCACUCGGAAAUUUAACUAGCACUUGACGUUGUGGCCGUAAACCUGUCUGGCAAAUGACGUUGCGAAAUCAAAUUCUGUUGACGUUUUAUUGUCACUAAACGUUGAUCUGUUCAUUCUGGCCAGCAACAAAUCUUGUCUACUUGUAUCGUUGUCGGAAGGACAGUAAGACAAGUUUCUGAAGUCAUUCAGUAUGGUUGCAGCACGUUUAUGUUUUCAUGAUUGCAGUAUUCUUAAGGGCUAAUUCAGUUUUUAAUUAUUCAGUCUUGGCAAUAUGGAGAUGCAACAUUUUUUAACUGAUUUAAGUGAGGCAAAGGAUUAAAAGAACUGUUUCACAAAGCAAAAAAAAACUGAAACAAUCUUUCAUGGGUCCAAAAUUUCGCUUUAAGAAAUUCGUGCGACUUUAAAAAAUCGGUGUGUUCAAUAACCACAGGUAGGACAGAUUUUAUUUUUUUUUUUUUGUAAAGAGAAAAAAAUAUGAUAAGCAUGAUUAGUAGUUGUAAAAGAAUCAAACAAGAUUUGGUAAAAAAAAAUCAACAAAAUAAGGGUUGCGUUUUUAAAGUCGUUCAGUAUAAAUAAUAAAUACAUCACAUUCAUUUGGAUGAUAUUAGAAGUUUUUGUAGUUCAUUUUUGAUCUGAUAAAAAAUGUAGCAAUAUGCAUGGAGUACAAAUUUUUAAGUUAAUCAAUAGACAUAUUCAUUUGCCAGGACAAUUAAAUGACACAAAUAUACAAUUUACGGUAACCGUUGAACGCGGUUAUAAAGGAUAAAUCGCCCUUUUAAAGGAAUUUAUUGGACCAAAUCAAAUAUCAAAAAGUCCCUAUGACUAUGAGUUUAUACACAAAUAAAUGACUUUAAAAUGGCGUUUCAUUCUAGAAUCAAAGCGUUUUAACUCCAAAAACUCAUAUAAUAUAAUCAUUUCAUUUUAAUGCCACAAUCAUAGAAUGUACACUUAUAUCAAUAUUUCCGUCUGUUAUUCUUUAUUGUCCAAAAACAUGGAUAAUAGGAUUAAACACAAGUUUUGCAACUGAGAACGUCUUCUCCAUGUAUUUUAAUAUUGAACAUAGCACGUGUAGUCAUAGCUGCAUUUUACGAAAACCAAAAGUCAUAUGGGAGUGCUUCGCGAUACUUGUCAACCAAAAAAUAUAACGGAUUCGAAUGAAACAUGCGUGUAAAGUAACUAUUGAACAAGAUAAGGUAAACAUGAUUUUUUUUUCAUACAUACUAAAUUUAUUAAUAAGCAUACCAUGAAACGGCAAAAUAAAAGCUCGGUAAUUGGUAGGAGGAAUAUUUACUGAUCAAACACUUGUAAAGGAAUGUUCGUCUUUAACGGUCAUUUUGUUCUUGACAGGGUCUAAGAUUAUCAGAAGUGAGUUUACCUUCAACUGUUCAAAGAUUGUUUUAUAUUUUUUGCAUUACAGUCGUCAUUGCGGUUAGUGCAGUGUGUGGAUCAAUAAUAUUGGUUCUUUGUGUGAUAGGAUUUUUUUUAAUACGAAACAAGUAUCG